rnacentral:tRNA from 1 species
GCAUCUGUAGCUCAGUGGUUAGGGCACCAGCCUCAUACACUGGGGCUGGCAGGUUCGAACCUGGCCCAGGCC